CUGCUGUUACAGACAGCCCUGGGUUCCAAUGAAAAGUCCCACAAUGACUGUGCUCUUCUUCCCCCAAAUGCACAGAUUCUCCCACCAUGUCAUACAGUGGCCUCCAGGGGAUGGAAGAGAGGUGGCACCAUCUGGUCAAGACUGUCUUUUCUCCAGUGCUUUUUUCUGUGACAAGAAAUUCAAAUCAGACUUCAUCUAAGACCUACAAGUGACUUCAAGGACAUCCGGAGUAUCUGGGAUGAAUGAAGAAUUAAAGACAACUGUGGGAGAAGUCAGGACAAGAAGGCCUAUAGCACCAAUUGAAGUCUUUCCUGAGAGUAAGAGCUUGCUCACAGAGAAAAGUAAGAAAAUCCCAACCUGCAGUUAAGAUUAUCUUGAGGAUAAAUGAUACCGAGUGACUGCUGUCGGUAUGCUGCAGCAAACACCAGUGAAACUAAUUUAGAGGAAGAAUUUUAAUCAGAAGGAGAUUAUGAACUAAAAAGUUUGAGUUUUGAAUAUAAAAGAGAAAAAGCAAAUUGUAAUUUCAUGUGCCAAAUGUAAUAGAGAGUAAAUUGGAAGUUAAACAGAGAAAGGUAUGGCAGGCAUUGGAGGUAAUGUUUUAAGAAGCAGAGAGAGUUGAAAAAAUAAUAAUAUAAAAACACAUACCAGAAGCCAAUGAACUGGCUGCUUCUUCUGUACUGUAAGUUUCUGUUUCUAUACUUGUAUGCAUAUCUCUUCCC
rnacentral:lncRNA from 1 species